GAUGAACGCUGGCGGCGUGCUUAACACAUGCAAGUCGAACGGAAAGGCGCUGAUUUUGUGGCGUGCUCGAGUGGCGAACGGGUGAGUAACACGUGAGUAACCUGCCCUUGACUUUGGGAUAACUUCAGGAAACUGGGGCUAAUACCGGAUAGGAGCUCCUGCUGCAUGGUGGGGGUUGGAAAGUUUCGGCGGUUUGGGAUGGACUCGCGGCUUAUCGGCUUGUUGGUGGAGUAGUGGCUUACAAAGGCUUUGAAGGAUAGGCCGCCUUGGAGGGUGACCGGCCUCCUUGCGCCUAAGAGACGCCCCAGUCUCCUACCGUAGGCAGAAGUGGGAAGUCUUACGCAAUGGCCGCAAGCCUGAUGCAGCAGCGCCGCGUGCGUGAUGCCGUCCUUCGAGUUAUGAACCGCUUUCGCCUGUGACGUGGCGUUAGUGACGGUACUUGGUAAAGAAGCACCGGCUAACUACGUG
rnacentral:rRNA from 1 species